CAAGUGGUCACUCUCCUGUAUUACUAAAGUGGUUUCAUUUUUGCAUCAUUCCUACAUCUUCACUCCAAGCAACAAGAGAAAAAACAGCAGCAAGAGGAGGUCCACGAAUCUGGGAAGGUUUCAGAGAUGACAAGGAAAAUCUUCAUUACCAUUUCAAGAACUGGGAACAAAGAAAAAUCCCAUUCCAGGACACAGGGAGGAAAUGCUCAUAGUUGAAUAGAAACUGUUGAAGAUUACCAUGGGAAUGCACCUGUGAACUUCCAGGGGGCUGUGCCCCCCAUCAGGUUUGAUCUCAGUUACUCCCUUACUUGAUGAAGUCUUCGAUGAUUCCUCAUGAAGAAAUUCCAGGUACUUCAGCACAUGAUUCAAAGGUCCCUUGCAACUGGCCUCAGCCCCCUUCCCAGCCCUGUGUCCCACCUUUCCCUUCCUUCACGCCAGUGCUUCAGCAAGGCAGGAAUGCUUGUGAUUCACCUUCCUCGUCAAGCUGGUUGGCCCCUCUGCCUUCUCACAUGCUGUUUCCUCUGCUGUUCCCCAUGCUGCACUCAGGGAGCCACCCAUCACCCCCCAGGACCUUCCUGCCCUGGGUGCACCCAUAGUGCUUUGUGCCUUUCUCUUUCUUGCUACUUGGUACAUUUUAUUGUAAUUAUUUGUUUAUAACUACAAAUAUAAACCUGCUAAUCCAGGAGUAAGCACUUUGAGAGACCUGUGUCUUCCUGGACCUAAGACAGUCAGUGCUUGUAACACAGUAGGAAAAAGUGCCUCAUUGCUGUUCCAUGAAUGAAUGGAGGUAGUUUUAGAUUUAAGCUGUCUUUUUACUAAGCUGCUCUGUCCCUUUCAGAUUUUUUUUUUACAGCUGCAAAUUCUUAUCUAUUCUUUACUUACUUUCUCUGCCCAGUAUCAAUUAACCAGGUUGUAGCAGAUCUAGAGUUUCCAGCUCAGCCUAGAUUGUGUUUCCUUGCUCUUAGCAGCUCAGGGGAAUUUUUUUUUCACUUCAUGAGGGAUGCAUCUGAGAUUCAGAGCAGGUCCAAUGACCCUUUUAUUAGUUCUUUGUCUGCUCUGACACGCAGUGUCAUGAAGUAUUCAUCCAGUUCAGAAAAUUGAAAAAGCUGGGGAGAAGAGAAAGAGAAGGGAAUUUGUGAAAACAGAGUCAGUCACUUGCGCAUUUGUCCCACUCAGCAGUCCGCCGCCUUGGUAAGCUCUUAACCCGGAGACUUGUUCACAAGGUAUUCCCUUGGUGCUGUCUUUCCCUUUAAAUAAUAAUCAGGCCCAGUAGAAACCUGCAAUGAGUACAUGAAAUCAGCAGGGCUGAGACUUUCCAGCAAAGAGACUCAGCAAGGCAGUGUCCCUCAUUCCCACAGAGGCACUGACCAGGCUUGCCCAGGGAGGACUGACCCACUGGGAGGUCUACUGUGGUCAGGAGCGUCCUAGGUGAUCAGGAAGACCUGAUGGCAGUUGACCAGCUGAUGGUUAAGGAAAAUAAUGAGCUACUCAACCCAUUUCUGGAGCAAGGAUUGGUAGAGGGUGCUCGCUGUUGAGGUCUGGGGAAGAUAAGGUGGCCAAGAAUUAAACAGCGGGUUCAGGGCUACUACUGACUUAUAUAGGGACUUUGUAUAAAUCAGAAAAAAAGCAGCCCUCUGGGCUGAAAGCACCCCUAGAGCACAAGGCUUGCAAGCUGGAAGCACCUCUGUACAAAGAAAGAAAGUUCAUUACUCUGGGUAGACACAGCUCCAUGCCACCAGACACCUGGAACCUGGCCUCCACUUGCCUUCUCAGCUGGGAGCUAUUAUAUAGCACAUCAACUGCACAAACAUGCCUGUGGCCUACAGGGUAUGGUAGCUCUGAGGGCAUUUAGAAAGGAAGGCGAGAGAAAAGCAAACUGAUGAUGGGUAGCAGAUCGUAACUACCAUUGUUUAGGGUUGUUUUUUUAAAAAAAACUGUGGAACUUCCUAUCAGAAUCACCUAAGAUACUUGACAGGUAAGAACACGUAUUCCUGGAACUCAUCUCAGACCAACUCGAUCAGACUCUUUGAAGGGUGAAGUCCAGCAAUCUGGAUUUUUACCAGGCCCCUAGGUGCUUCUGGUACCCGCUAAAGCUUAAGAACUGCUGGUGUAGCAACUGUUCCAUCAGAAGUCCUUGGGGCCAGGCAUGAUGGCUCAUGCCUGUAAUCCCAGCACUUUGGGAGGCCAAGGCGGGCGGAUUGCCUGAGGUCAGGAGUUCAAGACCAUCCUGGCCAACAUGGUGAAACCCCAUCUCUACCUAAAAUACAAAAAUUAGAUGGGCAUGGUGGAAAGCCUGUAGUCCUAGCUACUCAGGAGGCAGAGGCAGGAGAAUCACUUGAACCGGGAGGCAGAGGUUGUGAACUGAGAUCGUGUCACUGUACUCCAGCCUAAGUGACAGAGCAAGACUCUUAUUUAAAAAAAAAAAAAAAAAAGUCCUUGUGAUCUGUACAUCUAGGAAUCUAGAACUAUCUGACUAGACCGAGAAAACACAGUCCAUCCAUUCAUUCCCUGAGCUCUGCAGUGUUCACUCCUCACAUGUCCUUGAGGCAUUUCCCGGAGGUUGUGUCUCUGGAGUUAGUGGCUAAUAUCAUUGUUUUUCCUGGCUCUACUGCUUUGCUGUUUCUAAGAAGCAUCUUUAAAAGUAACAGCUUUUAGGAUAAAAACUCUAGGAAUUUUGAUACAAAGAAUAGUGCAACUCAUAAUUCCACACCCACCCUUCCUUCUUUGGCUCCUCUCCUGUCUUCCCAUCCUUUGAUAGAGAAUGUUUCAAGUUGAUCCGUUUCAAGGAAAUUGCCUGGAGAUGCUGCAUUUUCAUUUUGGUUUCCAGCCUAUAUGAAGGUUCAGUUACAUUUCGCUGAAUUCCAAAUGUCCAGUUUGCUUUGUUGGACUGGUUAUUUCUGCCAUUUUGAGUAACGCUUGAAAUGUGAAUGUGGGGCCAGGUUUUUGUGACUGUAAUUCCAGCACUUUGGGAGGUUAAGGUGGGCCAAGCCCUUGAGCCCAGGAGUUGGAGAUCAGCCUGGGCAACGUGGUAAAACCCCAUCUCUACAAAAAAUGCAAAAAGUAGUCAGGGGUGGUUGUGCAUGCCUGUAAUCCCAGCUACUUGGGAGGCUGAGGUGAAGGAUCGCUUGAGCCUAGAAGUUGGAGGCCACAGUGAGCUGAGAUUGUGCCACUAUACUCCAGCCUGGAUGACAGAGCAAGACCCUGUUUCUAAAAAAUAAAACAGAUUUUAAAAAUGAAAUACAAAUGUGAUCAGCCCGUGCAUGGCCAACUUGCUUUUAUUUAGACAGUUUGGCUGGAACAGUGAAAUUUUAGCUGAAACCAUAGUGUUCAUAGCUUAUGUUACAGACACCCACUUUUCUGGGCCACAGGGCUGUGCUUGUUGACCUCCUACACUUUGGGUGUAACGUCAUUCAUAGAUGCUGUUUCACAUUGUUGCUCUUGUGCCAAGCAAGGUGCAAGAUACACUAGUGUGAGAGGGUGAGCCCAGGCCCUGACUUCGGGGAAUUUCACCUCAGACCUUGUUGUGUAGUAUGGUAGCCACCAGCUACACGUGGCUAUGGAGCACUUCAAAUGUACUUAGUCCAAAUGGAGAUGUUCAGUAAGGGUAAAAUACACACUGGAUAUCAAGGACCUAGUAUGGGGAA